UACGUAGGUCGCAAGCGUUGUCCGGAUUUACUGGGCGUAAAGAGCGCGCAGGCGGCUGGUCAAGUCCGAUGUGAAAUCUCCCGGCUCAACUGGGAAACUGCAUCGGAAACUGAUCGGCUUGAAGGUGGGAGAGGGUAGUGGAAUUCCCGGUGUAGUGGUGAAAUGCGCAGAUAUCAGGAGGAACACCAGUGGCGAAGGCGGAUCUCUGGGCCAUUACUGACGCUGAGGAGCGAAAGCGUGGGGAGCGAACAGG
rnacentral:rRNA from 1 species